rnacentral:rRNA from 1 species
AUUGAACGCUGGCGGCAGGCCUAACACAUGCAAGUCGAGCGAGCGGCGGACGGGUGAGUAAUGUCUGGGAAACUGCCUGAUGGAGGGGGAUAACUACUGGAAACGGUAGCUAAUACCGCAUACGAUCAGAUGUGCCCAGAGGGGAUUAGCUGGUAGGUGGGGUAACGGCUCACCUAGGCGACGAUCCCUAGCUGGUCUGAGAGGAUGACGAGCCACACUGGACCUGAGACACGGCCCGAACUCCUACGGGAGGCAGCAGUGGGUAAUAUUGCACAAUGGGCGCAAGCCGGAUGCAGCCAUGCCGGGUGUGGGAAGAAGGCCUUCGGGUUGUAAAGCACUUUCAGCGGGGAGGCGUUACCCGAAGAAGAAGCACCGGCUAACUCCGUGCCAGCAGCCGCGGUAAUUC